UACAGAGGUCCCAAGCGUUGUUCGGAUUCAUUGGGCAUAAAGGGUGCGUAGGCGGCGCGGUAAGUCGGGUGUGAAAUCUUGGAGCUUAACUCCGAAACUGCAUUCGAUACUGCCGUGCUUGAGGACUGGAGAGGAGACUGGAAUUUACGGUGUAGCGGUGAAAUGCGUAGAUAUCGUAAGGAAGACCAGUGGCGAAGGCGGGUCUCUGGACAGUUCCUGACGCUGAGGCACGAAAGCUAGGGGAGCAAACAGG
rnacentral:rRNA from 1 species